GACGAACGCUGGCGGCGUGCUUAACACAUGCAAGUCGAACGGAAAGGUCCUGCUUUUGUGGGGUGCUCGAGUGGCGAACGGGUGAGUAACACGCGAGUAACCUGCCCUUGACUUUGGGAUAACUUUAGGAAACUGGGGCUAAUACCGGAUAGGAGCUCCUGCUGCACGGUGGGCGUUGGAAAGUUUCGGCGGUUGGGGAUGGACUCGCGGCUUAUCCGCUUGUUGGUGGGGUAGUGGCUUACCAAGGCUUUGACGGGUAGCCGGCCUUAGAGGGUGACCGGCGACAUUGGGACUGAGGUACGGCCCAGACUCCUACGGGCGGCAGCAGUGGGGAAUAUGACACAAUGGGCGGGAGCCUGAUGCAGCAGCGCCGCGUGCGGAAUGACGGCCUUCGGGUUAAGAACCGCUUUCGCCUGUGACGAAGCGUAAGUGACGGUAAUUAGUAAAGAAGCACCGGCUAACUACGUG
rnacentral:rRNA from 1 species